CAUACUCGGGCCUGCUUAGCACUAAUUCCUAGCACUUCACAUAAAUGAGGCGGCUGUGAUUAUGAUUCCUAGGCUCAUGUGCUUUUAGAUGUAUAGAGAUAAAAAACACAUUACACUUCAUAGUAUAAAAUUAGUACUCCUUAGGUCAUAUGAAAUGAAAACCCAUUCAGCUUGAGCAAAAACAUAAUGUAUUGGAGCAGCAAUGUAUCUGGGCCUUGGAAAUAGAAUGGGAACAUUCUGAAGAAUCCAUUACAUUCCUCUCUUGGGACCUCUUCUAUUUUUUUUUCUGAAUGUCAUGCUUUAUUUUUCUCCUUCAUUGCAAGACAGUUUUUCUCUUUCCUGUCCUCUAGAUAGAAAAUGACCACCAACAGUUGCUCUGGAAUUUAUGUAAAGUGAUGAGGUAAUUGAGAAAUACUAACUUGACUCUUUCUGGGUCUCUGAUCUCAAUACUUGACAAGGAACUGACUGGUUGAGCUCAGUGCUCACCCGUGGGGUGUCAAUCAAGUGGAGUCUUGAUGGCUUCCACUGUACCACUGUUGAUGCAGAGAAAAGAGAGUAUUCCUAGAAAAGAGAUGCUGGACAGUUUAGUAAGUGUCUCAUGUAUUUGGUCAGAGGCUCAUUCCCAACCCCUUGCCAUUCAAAGUGUAGCCAAUGGAAUAAAAAGGUAGUAUUACCAGGGAGCUUGUUGGAAAUUUAGAAUCCCAGCCGCAUCUUAUCUCUUAUGAAUUGACAUUUAGCAAGAUCCUCAGGUGAUUUACAUUCAGGUUAAAAAUUAAAACAUGGUUCUGGUCUCAUAAAAAGUCAGGAUCAGGUGGAAACUUGAUUUUAUUUCAAGGUACUUUUUACACCUAACCAGACAUAACCCUUUAGCUUCUUGAGUUAAACUUUUAUAUCCUGGAAAAAAUCUCCAUCAACUGAUACACAUAUAUACUUAGUUAUAAUAUAAAGGUAAUCUUGAGAGUAAGUGUGUAGAUCACUGCAAAUUUAUUUCCAUUAAUGGAAAAAAAUCAAACAAUUUAAGAUUUAGAUCCUAAUAAUUUGGGUCAAUACUUCUAAUUUUAUAUAUGAAGAAUAGCAUAAUAUUGACAAUAUAUUUCUAAUAUUUCUUUUACUAGUAUGACACAAUUUAUAUUCAUUACCGAAAAAUAAAUAACAACUGAUUGACAACUCAGAUGGGAACAAGUAAUCCAUGUAACCUUGAUGAAGAUGAGAUAAUGGAAAUCCUCAACUCUUAGAUUUUCAUAUACUUGAAUUUUUAUGUAAUCACCUUCUUGAGUAAAAUAUGAUUAGUUGAGCAUUAUAAGACUUACUACAUGCCGAAAAACCUUCCUAAAUAAUUUACGCAGAUUUUCUGGCUUAUAUUUGGUGGUAUUCAGGUUGUGGUCUACUGUUAACUGAACUUUCACACAUAUAAUUAUUUUUAGCUAGGUUUUCUUUUCUGUUCUUGCCACUGUACUAUACAUUUUAACUUGAUCUUGGAAUGUGCAGUUAGGCUUGGAUUUGAAUGGCUCAAUCUCUUACUAGCAACUGCAUAUUCUUGGGUUACUUACAUCAACUCCCUAAGCUUCAGUGCCUUGUCUACAGGAGGAAAUAAUCAUGUACAAUUCCUUUAUAGAGUUGUGAGGCUUGAAAGAUAAGGUGCAUUUAUCCUGGCAUAGAUUUAGCAUCAUGUAUGGUCAGGUCACUCAGGAUGGUUAUUCCCUUGCUCUCUAUACGUCCCCUGCUUGACCAGUGCUUGCUUCACCUGCACCCUCCUUUCAUGAACAUGCUUGUACCCUGCAGCCCCAGUUAGUGAUUGUUCUAAUCCUUAGGCCAGAACAGCUCCACCUGCUAGUUUAUUAAAGGAAAAUAUCUGCCCUUGAGGGCCCUAGCUACUGGUUUCCCUGGUAACUGAUGAGCCAACCUGAUGUCAAUUCUCCUUAUAAACAGUAACUUCCUUCUCCCCAAAGUGGUAAAGAUGGUCACCAUGUCCUGCUGGCCAUCUGUCGUCUACAGUGGGAUGAUGCUCCAGGACCUUUUGCUGCGGACAGGAAGAAGAAUAUGUGGCCCUCCAGUCAUUUUCAUUUCGUGGAAUUGACCAGUGUGAAAAUACCCCUCUGUUUUCACUGCAGUUGAGGUGACUAUUGCUUGUCCAAACUGCCUCAUCUCAAGUUUGGGCUGAGAGCUGGCUUUUCAGUUCGCCCCAGGAAUCAUGGAGAGCAGGUUGUAAUGUUUAACAAGAUUUUACUGAAGACUUGGGAACAACAGAAGAGAAAUAUAAUACAAAGAACUUUUAAGAGGAUUCUCUAUAGAACCACUCUCAGUACAAGCCAGAGUCAGCACCGUUCCUCCAGCAUCUGCCAGACUCUGACAUGUAAAUGUGCUGGGUUAUUAUUAUUAUUAUUAUUAUUGUGUGUUUGGAUUUAUUAAUGGAAUUAAAUGUUUGUGAAAUCUACAUAUUCAAAUAUUCAAAUGUUUUUGAACCUUCAACCUGUCAGAUUCAUCGGGAUUCAGUUUACCUCCCCUCGAAGACAGUGACUUUGAGAAGUUCUCUAAUUCAGGUACCAUCUUUUCAAAACUAGCACAAACUAAGCAAUUUUCUCCUCCUCCUCCGAGUAGGAGGAUUAUUUCUAAAGUACUGAUUGUUACAAUACAUUUAUUAGUUUAAUCUCUGCCAUACCAUGGUAUUUUUAAGUAGAAAAAAAUACCAUUGUUUUAGUUGGUGUGACAUCAGUCAGCAACUCCAUUCUCUUUUUGAAUUCCUCUCCUUCUUUUGUUUCUCUGACUGUCACCCAUGAAACAUGGUACUCUCACUGCCAGGCCCUAAACCACGUGUCUCCACAAAGUUCCCACCAGCUCCUUCCCACUUGUUCCAUUUCUCCAUGACCCCCUCCCUCCUGUCUGCACCCCUACCAACUCUCCAAGCUCAUCUUUGGUCUGAGGAAGGGAAACAUUUUGAGCAAAAGAAGGCACAUUCUGUAAUCAGAUAUUCGGCAAAAUUGCUUUAGGAAAUUUCCUGAGAAUGUCUGUCAGGGUCAAUAAACUUGCCAAAGAAUUCUGACGCCUAAUGAGCCCAGUUCUUGCAGAACUGGGAAUUCAUGCCAAGGCUGCCUGGGAUGUGCUGGAGCAAAGUGAAGGGAGCAACUGAGC